rnacentral:rRNA from 1 species
UACAGAGGUCCCAAGCGUUGUUCGGAUUCACUGGGCGUAAAGGGUGCGUAGGCGGUCGGGUAAGUCUGAUGUGAAAUCUCACAGCUUAACUGUGAAACUGCAUUGGAUACUAUCCGGCUCGAGGAAUGGAGGGGAGACUGGAAUACUUGGUGUAGCAGUGAAAUGCGCAGAUAUCAGGAGGAACACCAAUGGCGAAGGCAGCUCGCUGGGACGUGACUGACGCUGAGACGCGAAAGCGUGGGGAGCAAACAGG